CCCUCUGCAGGAAGGAUGUGAGGCUGGAGGGGAAGAGGAGGAGUUGAGGCACUGGGGAUGGUCUCCAGGUCUAAAGAGAAUUUCACCCUUCAAACCAUUGCACGGUUGACCUGCAGAAUGAGAUCACCCUGGCUGUUAGCAGUUGCAGUGCUUCUUUAUGCCUGGUGAUUUCUGUUUCCACGUGCCCAGCUCCCAGAAGGUGUGACUUGCAUGGGAAAUCCUGUUUCACCCCAGGGAUGCGGGCAGACAGAGUUUGUCAUUGCCAGGGAGAAAACGUGGCUGUGUCUGAACCACCAGGAGGACAGACGGACACGUGCAUGCCAGGGAAGGGGGACUUAUGCUGAUGGUGAGAAUCGGCGCUAUCUUUCUAAAGGCAAGAGCAGUUACAGACCCACUGUUCAUUACUUUGGAUGUGUCACAUUUGCUAGUAUGACAAGAUGUAUUAUGGACGAGGAAUUUUACAGAUGGAGAGAAACAUCCAUCGGUCGGACAGAAAUUUCAAGCAACAGUUCUUGGAAACCAUAUGGGGAUCAGCCUGGGAGUUCUGCAAGGACUGGGGAGCAACUUUGA
rnacentral:lncRNA from 1 species